rnacentral:lncRNA from 1 species
CCCUCCAUCUCCUUGACUCUGGGUGGGCUGUGGGACUUUUCCUUGCUCAAUAGAAUGAGAAGGAGGUGGCGCACCGGCUACAAGGCUAGACCGGGGGCUCGCAUAUCUCCACUUGCAGCUGCCACUGUGUGCAUGCCACUGCCAUUAGAAGAACUUGCUCAGCCAGCUCCUGGGCCCCAGGAAAAGGACAAGUGUCACCCAGAACAGAGCCACCUCCAGCUGCACUCAGCUCCAGAAGCUGGCCCAGCCGGUCCAGUACACCUUUUAAAUAAUGUCCUCUUCGUGCCGGUGUGGAAGUAGCCCGGAUGCAAUUGAAUGAACAACAGACGGUGCUUUCCAGGACGGCGCUGUGCUUUCCAGGAUGGUGCUGUGCUUUCAUUCAUUUGGGUAGCUCCUCUGUGAGCCUCCCAGCGCCGACUGCAGAGCCCCCACUCUCCAGCCUGCCAGACCCCGAAAUUCAAGCCACACAAAGAAAGGAGGAGGGGGCCGUUGGCGUUUACUGAAGCUUAUAAAACUGUCAGCAAAACAGCCCUUACGCUUGGACUCCCUGCUAGCCGGGUUUUACGGUGCUGAAGUCAGCAUCUUGAUUCAGCUGCAUAAAUAAUCUCCUGCAGUCCUGCAAGGCCUGGGGUAGGAGAGGGUAUGGGGACCAGGGCACUCUGUAAGGGCUGGGAUAGGAACCCCAGGGAAUAAGACAGACCAACUGCGGGACUUCAGACUCCACUGCAGCCGGGAUCGGGUUGUUGUUAAUUUCUUAAGCAAUUUCUAAAUUCUGUAUUGACUCUCUCAUGCAUGUAACUGAUCCUUAGAUAUUGUCAGCCAAAUGACUAAAGGAUUUAGAAAUCUGAUUGACUUUUGGAAAUCUGAUUGACUGGCACACUCUCUCUGCCUCUUUCUUUCUCAACAUUUUAUUUCUAACUAUAGUUUCUUC